UACGAAGGGUGCAAACGUUGCUCGGAAUCAUUGGGCGUAAAGCGCACGUAGGCGGCCUAUCAAGUCGCAUGUGAAAGCCCACGGCUCAACCGUGGAAGUGCAUGCGAAACUGACAGGCUUGAGUACCAAAGAGGAUCGCGGAAUUCCCGGUGUAGAGGUGAAAUUCGUAGAUAUCGGGAGGAACACCAGUGGCGAAGGCG
rnacentral:rRNA from 1 species